UACGAAGGGGGCUAGCGUUGUUCGGAAUCACUGGGCGUAAAGCGCUCGUAGGCGGAUCUUUAAGUCAGAGGUGAAAUCCCAAGGCUCAACCUUGGAACUGCCUUUGAUACUGGGGAUCUCGAGUCCGGGAGAGGUGAGUGGAACUGCGAGUGUAGAGGUGAAAUUCGUAGAUAAUUCGCAAGAACACCAGUGGCGAAGGCGGCUCACUGCCCGGUACUGACGCUGAGGAGCGAAAGCGUGGGGAGCAAACAGG
rnacentral:rRNA from 1 species